UGAGUACGAGAUGCUACGGCAUCGAAGCAGUCUAUGUCAUACUUCCAAGAAAAGCUUGCACUGUCAUAAACAAAGAAUGCCUGUACCAUAACCGACACAGGUGGGUAGGUAGAGUAUACUAAGGGGCGCGAGAUAACUCUCUCUAAGGAACUCGGCAAAAUGACUCCGUAACUUCGGGAGAAGGAGUGCCUUAUUUCUAAGGUUGCAAUAACAAGAUCCAAGCAACUGUUUACCAAAAACACAGGUCUCCGCUAAGUCGUAAGACGAUGUAUGGGGGCUGACGCCUGCCCAGUGCCAGAAGGUUAAAGAAGUUGGUUAGCAUUAGCGAAGCUGAUAACUGAAGCCCUGGCGAACGGCGGCCGUAACUAUAACGGUCCUAAGGUAGCGAAAUUCCUUGUCGGGUAAGUUCCGACCCGCACGAAAGGCGUAAUGAUUUGGAUACUGUCUCGGAGAGGGGCUCGGUGAAAUAGACUUGUCUGUGAAGAUGCGGACUACCUGCACCUGGACAGAAAGACCCUAUGAAGCUUUACUGUAACUUGAGAUUGAAAUUGGACUUUAUUUGCGCAGUAUAGGUGGGAGGCGUUGAGAAUAAUCUUGCGGGAUUGUUGGAGCCAUCAGUGAGAUACCACUCUUGUAAUGUUAGAUUUCUAACUUUGUAUCAUUAUCUGGUCAAAGAACAGUUUCAGGCGGGCAGUUUGACUGGGGCGGUCGCCUCCCAAAGGGUAACGGAGGCGCACAAAGGUUUCCUCUGAACGGGUGGAAAUCGUAUCUAGAGUGUAAAGGCAUAAGGAAGCUUGACUGUGAGACCUACAAGUCGAGCAGGGACGAAAGUCGGUCUUAGUGAUCUGACGGUGCUGAGUGGAAAGGCCGUCACUCAACGGAUAAAAGUUACUCUAAGGAUAACAGGCUGAUCUCCCCCAAGAGUUCACAUCGACGGGGAGGUUUGGCACCACGAUGUCGGCUCAUUGCAUCCUGGGGCGGUAGUCCGUCCCAAGGGUUGGGCUGUUCGCCCAUGAAAGCGGUACGCGAGCUGGGUUCAGAACGUCGUGAGGCAGUUCGGUCCAUAUCCGGUGUAGGCGUUAGAAUAUUGAGAGGAGCCUUCUCUAGUACGAGAGGACCGAGAAGGACAUACCUCUGGUGUACCAGUUAUCGUGCCAACGGUAAACGCUGGGUAGCUAUGUAUGGAGUGGAUAACCGCUGAAAGCAUCUAAGUGGGAAGCCCACCUCAAGAUAAGUAUUCUCACUACUUUAAGUAGGUAAGGUCACGGGCAGAACACCCGUUGAUAGGCUUUAAGUGGAAGUACAGUAAUGUAUGUAGCUGAGAAGUCCUAACAGACC
rnacentral:rRNA from 1 species